CAUUUCUUUAUAAUGGAAACUUUGUACAAACUUGCACGAAUUGCCAUUUGUGGAAGACUCCAAAAUGCCUUGGAUGUUUAUCAAUUGGAGUUACCACAAACUAUACGGGAAGAUAUUUUAUUGGAAUUUCGUUUUUCAAAAUUUAGUUUCAUGUUAAAUUCGUAUAGACUGCCAGAAUGUUAUAUAUUUGAUAAAAGUGAAAAUGUUCCCAUGAUUUCUGAAAUAGUAAAUGAUGCAGUAGAAGCGUGUGCAAAAAUAAGAGCGGGAAUUCCUGUUCCGUGGGAAACACUUGGUUUGAUUACAAUGUCUUUCUUUGAUAUUAGUACAUUCUGGCAAAGUAGAUUCAAAAUUAAAGUAUUUUUUUACAAAGUUAUGUACAAGCAUUUCGUAUAUACUAUUUGUGAGAAUUGUUUAUACAAAUUAUCCGAUUCAUGGCAAAACCCGCUACUGCAACCACUUCUAAUUGGAAUGAGAAUUAAUAUGGUAACCAAGACACCAUCAUUUUCAUAUGGUGUAACUUGUCCGCCACAUAUUAAACAAUAUAGUCAUUCGUGCAUGUUUUGCGCAAAUAGUCCAUUGUUUAGAAGUGUACUACCUAUUCUUGAGUACUGCUCGAGUGUUUGGGAUCCGCACCAGGUGGUAUCGAGAGAAGACAUCGAAGCAAUCCAGAGGCGAGCUGCUGGAAUUAUUACCGGUGGCGCAGUGCUGCGGAAGGCGUCGGCAUUACAGGGACGCACAGUCAAAGGCGUCCAGGCUGCACCUGGGGAGUUCCCUCAUCACCAAAAGCACUCUGGAACUUCUACGUUGGUCGCAAUGUUGAUUCGCUCUGAAGAUGGAAACGAAUUACAAUGGCCUGAGUCCAAUUGAGCUGCGCAAAGUGGACGUUCAAGUAACAAAGCAAUAGGAAUGCGAGGCAGUGUGGAAUGACUACGGCCGCCCCAUCUACCCUACGCCGAUCUGUGCUGCUCGUUUUGAGGAUAAAACCUACGGCCCCUUCCAUGGUGAUUCAGGGGGUCAGUUGCUCUACGAGGGAAAGAUUGUGGGGAUUGCGUCGUGAGGCUAUGCAUGUGGCGAGCCUCCCUACCCUUCUGUCUACACACGUGUCUCUAGCUACGUGGACUGGGUCAUUGAGAAGACUAAUGCAUCGCUGGUGUAUUGAUAGCACCGUUGGAUCUGUAUUUGCUACAGUUUUUAAAUGUUGAUAAAAGUUAAUAUUGUGUUAUCACAGUAUGUUAUUUAUGUCAAUGUCUGUCUGAAAGUGACAAUAAAAUUUCAUCUGAAGUUUCUUA